rnacentral:rRNA from 1 species
GACGAACGCUGGCGGCGUGCUUAACACAUGCAAGUCGAACGGAAAGGCCCUGCUUUUGUGGGGUGCUCGAGUGGCGAACGGGUGAGUAACACGUGAGUAACCUGCCCUUGACUUUGGGAUAACUUCAGGAAACUGGGGCUAAUACCGGAUAGGAGCUCCUGCUGCAUGGUGGGGGUUGGAAAGUUUCGGCGGUUGGGGAUGGACUCGCGGCUUAUCAGCUUGUUGGUGGGGUAGUGGCUUACCAAGGCUUUGACGGGUAGCCGGCCUGAGAGGGUGACCGGCCACAUUGGGACUGAGAUACGGCCCAGACUCCUACGGGAGGCAGCAGUGGGGAAUAUUGCACAAUGGGCGGAAGCCUGAUGCAGCAACGCCGCGUGCGGGAUGACGGCCUUCGGGUUGUAAACCGCUUUCGCCUGUGACGAAGCGUGAGUGACGGUAAUGGGUAAAGAAGCACCGGCUAACUACGUGCCGGCAGCCGCGGUGAUACGUAGGGUGCGAGCGUUGUCCGGAUUUAUUGGGCGUAAAGGGCUCGUGGGUGGUUGAUCGCGUCGGAAGUGUAAUCUUGGGGCUUAACCCUGAGCGUGCUUUCGAUACGGGUUGACUUGAGGAAGGUAGGGGAGAAUGGAAUUCCUGGUGGAGCGGUGGAAUGCGCAGAUAUCAGGAGGAACACCAGUGGCGAAGGCGGUUCUCUGGGCCUUUCCUGACGCUGAGGAGCGAAAGCGUGGGGAGCGAACAGGCUUAGAUACCCUGGUAGUCCACGCUGUAAACGGUGGGUACUAGGUGUGGGGUCCAUUCCACGGGUUCCGUGCCGUAGCUAACGCUUUAAGUACCCCGCCUGGGGAGUACGGCCGCAAGGCUAAAACUCAAAGGAAUUGACGGGGCCCCGCACAAGCGGCGGAGCAUGCGGAUUAAUUCGAUGCAACGCGUAGAACCUUACCUGGGUUUGACAUGGAUCGGGAGCGCUCAGAGAUGGGUGUGCCUCUUUUGGGGUCGGUUCACAGGUGGUGCAUGGCUGUCGUCAGCUCGUGUCGUGAGAUGUUGGGUUAAGUCCCGCAACGAGCGCAACCCUUGUUCACUGUUGCCAGCACGUUAUGGUGGGGACUCAGUGGAGACCGCCGGGGUCAACUCGGAGGAAGGUGGGGAUGACGUCAAGUCAUCAUGCCCCUUAUGUCCAGGGCUUCACGCAUGCUACAAUGGCUGGUACAGAGAGUGGCGAGCCUGUGAGGGUGAGCGAAUCUCGGAAAGCCGGUCUCAGUUCGGAUUGGGGUCUGCAACUCGACCUCAUGAAGUCGGAGUCGCUAGUAAUCGCAGAUCAGCAACGCUGCGGUGAAUACGUUCCCGGGGCU